UAUAAGAAUUUUAUUUAUAUAAGAAUUUUAUUUAUAUAGAAUUUAUUUUCUAUAAAUUUUAUUUAUAAAAGAAAAGGAAGGGAAGGGAAGGGAAGGGAAGGGAAGGGAAGUUUCAGGGAAGGGAAGGGAAGGGAAGGGAAGUUUCAGGGAAGUUUCAGGGAAGUUUCAGGGAAGUUUCAGGGAAGUUUCAGGGAAGUUUCAGGGAAGGGAAGGGAAGGGAAGGGAAGGGAAGGGAAAUGAGAACUCAUAGAUGUAGAGGCCUGGAGAGGGAAUCAAAACACUCAGUAAUAACCUUUCUGCUAGACAUUUGG
rnacentral:lncRNA from 12 species